rnacentral:rRNA from 1 species
AUCAAUAAGCGGAGGAAAAGAAACUAACAAGGAUUCCCUCAGUAACGGCGAGUGAACAGGGAACAAGCUCAAAGUUGGAAUCUAUCUGGCUUAGCCAGAUCGAAUUGUAAACUUUAGAGUCGUUGUCCAGACCAGCCGAGUAAAUAAGUUCCUUGGAAUAGGACAUCAUGGAGGGUGAGAAUCCCGUCUUUGGCUUGAGCAUUGGUCUUUUGUGAUGCGACUUCAACGAGUCAGGUUGUUUGGGAAUGCAGCCUUAAUUGGGUGGUAAAUCUCACCUAAAGCUAAAUAUUGGCGAGAGACCGAUAGCGAACAAGUACCGUGAGGGAAAGAUGAAAAGAACUUUGAAAAGAGAGUUAAACAGUAUGUGAAAUUGCUAAAAGGGAACCGUUUGAAGUCAGUCUGGCUGGUCUGCAAUCAGCUUCAACUUUGGUUGGAGUGCACUUGUAGGCCAUUUUGCCUGCCAACAACAGUUUGUUCUGCAGCAAAAAGGUGUUGAGAAUGUAGCUUUCUCUUUGGAGGAAGUGUUAUAGCUCUUCGCGAAAUACUGUGGUUCAGACUGAGGCUUGCAGUGAAUGCUAUUUUGGCUUUGGGGAUGGAUUGCUCAGUGCUUUGCUUGGUUAGUUUUCGGCCGUCAAACGUCGUGCUGGCUAAAUAAAGUCUGACUCGGUUCAUUCACUUUUAAUCACUUUGGUUGUUGGCUUAAUGACUU